UUAUGUUAUUGGUUCAUGACUUUCUAUAUUUUUGUUUACAAAAUAAAGUCAUAAAAAGUAAUGAAAAAUAUUAUCAAAAUAGAGAGAUUGUUUAAGAAACUUUACAAGAUUAUUGUGAAGCCUAAUCUAUAAUUUCCGAUUAGAACUUGCGACUUAGUUUAGGGAUUUGAAAGAAAAUAGAAAAAACGCAAACAAAGAACACCGAGAUUUUACGAGUUCAGGUUCCGGUGUGGAACCCUACGUCUCGCCGGAGAUUGACUCCGGAAUCCACUAGAUCAUAGCUCAAACUCGAGCUCAUACAAGUGACCGUUACAAUCGCUCACCGGAUUACAGUCACUCUCAAGCUUUCUCUCACUCACCAACACAAAACCAGUUACUCUCUCUACCUCUAACUCUAAGCUCACGUCUCUCGUCGACUUGCGUAGUCUCGUUGUCACGCUUCUCUUAUCUGUUUCAUUCUGUUACAUACUCAAAGAAGAGUAGAGAAGAAGAAGAUACAGAGCCAAUGAUAAAAGACCCUUUUACCCUUCUAGUUGUGACUUAUUACUAAUCUCACGUGUGUGCUUCUCACGUGAGCCAAUGAAGGAAGCUUGGGUCAAACCCUCUGAUUGCUUCAGAUACUUAUCACACUUUAGCAUAUAUCUUGAGAUCGGAUGACACUAAACCUUCAAAUCUCCACCUUGUCAUCGAUCUUCUUCACGCUCCUUAUCUAGCUUCUUGGAUUCCAUCUCCGGUACUUGAGCUUCACCGCUCAUCUUGAACUUCACCGUUCAACUUCAAUGCUUCCUUGAAAAAUUGUUUCCUCAAUGCAUCUUAAAAUCAACAUGUCUUGAUUCUACUUGAAGACUUCCUCGCAGCUGCUCCUUAGAACCCUUUAAACUUGCUCUAACCUUGACAACUCCAAUCUUCACACUUCAACAACCAUUAGUGAACAUAUCUUCGAUGGAAAAAAAAUAGCUGUGAUGUGAAUCACACCGACGUUCCCGAACCAUCGACGUUCUAGUAUCACUUCUUGAGUUGUGAACCAACUUUAACACAGACUUGUGUCAACAAAAAACUCAUGUUUGCUUCACUUGUUUCCUUCACAGCCUGGAUCCUUUUUUAACCUCUGCAGAUCGAUUCCUCGCUAGCCCUUUGAUUCAUUUCAUGUGCACUGAACUUUGAAUCAAAUUCUCCCUUGAAUCAUUAUGCAAAAAUAUCUUGGAUCGCUUGUGCUUUUCUAUCCUGAAACAGUCAAUGAUUCAUCCUGCAAAACAAUCUAAGCCAAUAACCCGUUAGUAGUAAAAUGUAUUUAACUAGAGAUUGUACUUACAGUGAUUUGUUUGAACUUUGAGCAUCACUUUGCACCGCCUAUGUUACCAACAAAACAUGCCUCCUAACUUUCACAGAGAAAGGAAAACUUCCGAUACAACUCUUUUUGCUCAAUCUGGUUCGAAACCCUUCUGAAUCAGCAAACCCUUUCAAUCCAACAGAUUUGAACCCCUGUUAGCUUCUUUAAACUUGUCUCAUAUCAACACUCCUGUGACAUGCCUGAGACUUCUCCUUUACAGCCCUUGAACUUCACUCUAGAACUUCUCGAAGUCGCUUCCUUGCUGCAAAAAAAACACUCUGCAAAACGUCCUCACGUUUGCAAUCUUCACCUAACUUGGCACUUGCAUCUUAAAACCAUCAGAGAUUAAUCUGAAUCCUUUCUUUAUCCUCAUAAGCUUCCUUUACAUGUGCCUAUUUGUUACUUCUUAUGAAGCAAAAAAGGUGAACAGAACUUUUCCUUGUUCUACUUCUUCAUUCUCAUCCUAUCUUGGAUGAAUUCUUCUCAGUUGCUAUACCAGCUCUUAUGAUGAAUCUUUUAAACCAUGAUUUAUGCAUUGCAAUUCACGUACUUGAGGUGAAUGAACCGCAGACAAAUUCUUUGCAAGACCUUGCACUUGUCUCUUACCGUCUCCUAAGAGAAUCACUUCAAUAAACUUUUAUCUUGAGCUUGUACUUCAGCUUUGCUGAUCUUCUUAAUCAUGCAACUGAUAUACCAAUGUCUGAACUACCAUCAAGCAUCCUUUAAACCUGAAAAACUUUCCUUUUAACUCCUGUUGCAACCUUCUUAUGCUUGAACGUUUCUGACAUCUCUUACCCGUUCUCGAAACUCUGUCUUCUUCACACACUUGACCAAUCCGAAUUAUAUCCAAACAGCAACUUAUUUCUUCUCAUAGCUAACACCUGAUGCGUUGAAAACCCAGUAUACUCAGACCUUGUCUUUGUACUUAAGAUAACCGAGAAACUCCUCAACUCUAAAGCUCCACCUGAAAUCACAAACCAUCUUUUACGAACGUGUAUUACUUCCCUGUAAUACUGAUGACUCCACCUGAAACUUUAAACCAUCGAUGUUGCUUGUAUCUCUCGACAUUAAUUCUGACUUGCCGAGCGAACUGCCUCUUUGUCACUGUCUCUAUAAUUCUCAAUCAUAAAACCUUGUGCGCUUGACUGUAUGAACCUUAUCACUUGAUAUAUCCAUAAUUCUUUCCACUUUGUAGCUACACCAACAGUCUCUUUACUCUUUAGCAGUUUGCUUCUAGAGAAGCUCUCAAUCUGAUUUUGUGAUAUUAUAUUGAAUACUUUAGUCUUAGAGACCAACUGAUCAACCACUACCUUGUUAUAGCAUUAGAACACUUGACUCUUCACACCCUUAUACUGAAUUUCUUCCACCAUAACAGAUGUCUCCUGGAACCAUCUCACAAAGCACCACCCUUUCUUAUUUGCAGAAAUUCUCACACUAACUUGAAUGUACCAUUUCUGAAAACUCCAAAGAAAACACCCGAAUGAUGCUAGAGAUUUAUAAGCAGGACCUUUAUUCUUGAGUCUUCAUGUCUAGAUGUUUCUAUAACCAGCUGAUCCAUUUUUAUUCUUGACUCUCAUACUUAGCCAUAAGAACCAGAAACCAACUUAAAAUUUCCUUGGUUUCAUUCUUACUGGUUUAUACCAGUCACACCUUGAUUUCCUUUUACACUAGAUGUUUCUUCAUCUGUAGACUGUAGUUGAGAAUUGUUUGGUGCUUCUUGUGUCCUUGUUACUUUCUCUGUUUAAACAGAGAACACUAAUACACAAACUCUUGCAGCCUUGUUUCAUUUUUCCUUAAAACACUACUGCCACCAAACAAACACAAAACGAUGCUGCAGCUUUAAUCCAUUUUCACUUGGAAUGUCCUAGCUGCCACUAACUCAAUGAUGACCAGAAUUUAACCCUUUGAUUACCAUAUCCUUUUAGCUCUUCUUAUCUCUUAAGAAUCUGAUAAUUACCUCUGAGACUGAAUCUUUGAAGAACCCUUACUCAAAACUCUUGUAAUACCUUGAAUUUUUCUGAAUUAUCAACCCACUUUGACUAAGCAGAAUUCUUGAUUAUUCUUGAACGAUCCUGCAAAUUCUGUCUUUCAAUACCGAGCCUUAACUGAUGUCCAAACAACCAUUAACCCAAUACCAAUCAAACAACCAAGGCGUCCCCAAGUUCCUAGACUUUUAUGAGCUUCCAAUAGCUGUUCUUUACUUAUCUUGAACACAAGUUUGCAUCAAAAAACUUCCACACUUCCUUAACCAGAAACCACACUAACCAAGUAUCGAAUCUUAGCUAAAAACUUGUGCAGUGAACAUACAAACUUGUGCUUUACCAAAUCUUGACUCCUUUAUUUGCAGACAUGUAGAUACCAGAACAUCACAAUUAACCUUGUGACUUGCAGCGGAUGCAAACUUAGUUUCACCAAGCUUUGAGUCUUCAUGAUGGUGACUUGAUUCUGGUUUCAAGACUUCAAAUCCAGUACUUGAACUCACACACUUCUUAAACCAGAAAUCAAAACUUCUUGCUGGUGAAUAUUCCUCCACCUAAGCCAUCACUAAACAUUCUUCUUCUUACAUCUCCAAAACUCGUAGUAUCAUUCUUUCUUUCCAUCUGGACCAAUUCUCCUUUGCAAUUGCACUCACUAGCGAGUCUUUCUUGAUCUUCUCGCAAUGAUGCAGACACAAAACAAUUAGAGGAGAUAACUUACAACUUCACAAUCUUAGAAACUCGAAGUAGUCUUCAAUACGAUGAAACGUAUCACCGUAAAACUUUCAUCCUCCAAAACUCAAAUAACAUUGAUCCAGACUACGAAGAUCUUAAACUUUCGUGAUCUCAACAUCAUCUCUUGUGAAUUUCUUGGACUAGAAAUCACAGUGAUGUCAAACUUCAGAGUCUAGAAGAGAGAGAGAGUAACUUAUCGACUAAACUGAUUUCAUAAACUUGAAACCAUUUGAUCCGGUUGGAUCUUUCUCCGUGGAGGUUCUUUCCUCUAGCUACGACGUCUUCUUCCGAGAACAACCGCAGUCCAAUUCUUCCUUCGCUCUUGACAUCACAACAUCUUCCGUUUUUCUUAUCUUUAGUCACGAUAUCAACGAAACUUCAAAUCCUCCGUUUCUUUCAAUUCGCAAUGCCUCUGCUUUCCAUGAAAUCGUAGAACAUAGGCUCUGCUACCAAUUUGUGAAGCCUAAUCUAUAAUUUCCGAUUAGAACUUGCGACUUAGUUUAGGGAUUUGAAAGAAAAUAGAAAAAACGCAAACAAAGAACACCGAGAUUUUACGAGUUUAGGUUCCGGUGUGGAACCCUACGUCUCGCCGGAGAUUGACUCCGGAAUCCACUAGAUCAUAGCUCAAACUCGAGCUCAUACAAGUGACCGUUACAAUCGCUCACCGGAUUACAGUCACUCUCAAGCUUUCUCUCACUCACCAACACAAAACCAGUUACUCUCUCUACCUCUAACUCUAAGCUCACGUCUCUCGUCGACUUGCGUAGUCUCGUUGUCACGCUUCUCUUAUCUGUUUCAUUCUGUUACAUACUCAAAGAAGAGUAGAGAAGAAGAAGAUACAGAGCCAAUGAUAAAAGACCCUUUUACCCUUCUAGUUGUGACUUAUUACUAAUCUCACGUGUGUGCUUCUCACGUGAGCCAAUGAAGGAAGCUUGGGUCAAACCCUCUGAUUGCUUCAGAUACUUAUCACACUUUAGCAUAUAUCUUGAGAUCGGAUGACACUAAACCUUCAA
rnacentral:lncRNA from 1 species